CGCCGUGUCUCGCCAUUCCCGCCGCCGCCGCCGAGGCCGAGAGAGGAGGACGCCGCGAAGGCUCGACGGCAGCCAGCGCAGCAGUUGGCGCGUCCGCGCGCGGCCAGCUCCACGGCGUGCCCGCCACCUGUUCGACGCUCGCUCGUCCACCUCCGCCGCGGGCCCAUGGCCGGCACCUUCGCGCCUGCUCAGGAACCCCGUCGCCGCGACGGGAGGACCGAGCACCGCGCGCGCGUGGGGGGCCCGGGCACAGUGCGCGACGGGACUGUCUGUUCAGCAACUGGUGCUGCUGAUUGCUGACCCAAGCCGCUUCUCGUUCGCCAUAGCAAUUUCCGGCCCGGGGGCUGCCAGAAUGCCGCUGGGAUCACGCAGAGCGCUUUGUCCGUCGCGCCGCACGCCGGACAGCCCCGGGUGAAGUGCAGCUAAUGGCGGCAGUCAGUGCCUUGACUUGUUCCAGACAGGCGAUGUUUGUUACCGCCACCGAAUGCCCACCACCUGCUCGACGCUGGUCCUCCUCCGCUGAAGGUGGAAGUGGAAUGUCCAUGUCCUCUCUUCUGAACUCACUGAGGGUCGCCACCUUGUACGGGCGCGGAGCGUCGCGAGAGCAGGACGGGGACAGAUGGUGGAGCCUUACAAAGGGGACAUGCUUAAUGCAAUUGGGAUGUUCAUCAUGCGAAGAUCUUCGCCAUCGCAUCACAUCAGGAACACAAAAAUGUGAUCAGUGUCGUUUCAACAUACAAAACUGACUGCAUGAAGAACCAUCCCUAGAUGCUAGAGGGAGAUUAACAAAACAAAGGGAUCGCGGAACCAAAAGUACGAUGCAAUGAUGAUAUCUAUUGGAAACUGGGCAGAGUCUAUUGAACUGUUACAAAUAUGCUCACAUCCUCACUGUGCAGCUGAUUCCGCGACACUGAUGCUUUCUGCGUUGCUUUACAUCUUCACAGAGUAUGUAUGCAUGCAUGGAAACAGAAGGAAGCAAGUGCUGCAAAGAAACCUCAAGAGACUACAAGGAGCCAUUGCGUACCUCCCCAUCUGCCGCUUCUCGCGCUUCGUCUUCCGUCGCCAUUGCUCCAGAUCAGGAUGGGAAGAAGGAAAGAAAGAGAAAAAAAAAGAAAGAAACAAAGAAAGAAUGGGAGGGAGAGAGGGGGAGACAGAGGCCUCUUAACAUAAAAGUCUUGUGGGUGCUUGAAAAGCUGGUGGUCUUUAUACCGACCUUUCCUCUGUCAGACGUGUUUUCUAUUGCCGAGCAGCGGUUAGGAAAGCAGCGACAGACUGACAGUGCUCUUGACAGUGAGUUGGUACUCGCUUAAUCACCCACAAACCUUGAUUAAGUGGGAGCGAUUAUCCCCGAAAUGGCAGAUCAGUGAACAUGGAGGCUCAGCAUUAGGUGCCAAAAUGCCAACUGGUGCUUGGGGCACAUGGUAGUGGUAGCUGGACCAGUGUGUUUACAGUCUUGCAUCGCCGGGACCCACAGAACCUUUUCCCUGAGGAAUUAUUGGAUCCAUAAUUGAUCGAAGAUUAUCUCGUUCUUGGAUCCUAUCUCUCGUUCUUUUUUUGCCUGUAGAGUGCGGCUCGAAAUAAGAUUUUCGGUGUAAGAAUACUAUCAUCUGCCUCUUUUUUGGUUGCUUGGUAUUACAUAAACAUUAGUAGUACUACAUGAUUGCCUUUGUGAUGUCCCUUCAGGUGCAAAUUAUCUCCUACCGUUGGAUCAUUUGAUACAUUCAGCUUUGGAUGCAAAUGGCUAAAGGCGGGCCCCGAAAGGCUGUGUCCAGCUUACCUCUCGAUGCACUGGGAAUUCAAGCCGACGACGGAUCUGUCCAAUUUUUCCCGCAGGCCAUCGAAAGCUCGGCUGAAUCGGAUCGUGCGGAAAGCGGGACAGGAUGAAAGUAACUUCACCCAAGGAGCAAUGGUAUGCUGUAUUUCCAGACUGCAGGAACCACGAGGGGGGCCAAGGGGCACAUCCUGAAUAUUGAAUCUGGUCAAGUGGCUGCUUUGGAGGAGGAGAACGCCAAGUCGGCCAAUCCAAAGGCGCCAUGCUGGACCCCCCCGCCCACGCCACUCCACGCCAUCCAAAUUCCUCUUGCAGAAAAGAAACCCACCGACCUGGCCGCCCCCAUCCGACCCGUCAUCGUCCACGGCGCCUUAUAAGAAACUACUCCUAUAACCAAGCUGUUCUUAUAAAACCCGAGGCAGGUAAUGUUCACGGAAUUCAUGGAUUAUCCUACCACACCGCGGCGCCGAAAGAAAGAAAGAAAAGGGAGAAAUGGAUGGGUUUGGAGCCGAAUGGCGAUGACAUGGAUGUCUGCAGAGAAGCUUAUCAUCAGAGCCCCCAGCCGCCCCCCCGGUGCCCCAGUGGCUCCAUCGGAUCCGAGUCAGCAUCAUACGUAGAUGCCUAACACUCUGGAGAUAAAAGAAGAUGAGAGGUUGAUGUUUUGUUUGCUGGCACUGUUCGCUUUUGCCCCCCUGGAAUAUAAGCGGCCGUCACUCCCAUCACAUGGCCCUCCAUUCUAUCCUGCUCCACAGGCUAAUUAGCAGCCGCCAAAGUGUUACCCCCACCGUUUUAAUUA